GAAGGCGGGGACCCGGGCCCCGCGGGCCUGCAGCGCCCCCGCACCCGGUUCCACGCGCCCAGGGCCGCCCCCGCGGAGAGAGGGGGCGCGAGGGGCGCGCCUCUCGCUCGGACACCCUCUCCCAGCUCGCGCCCCAGGUAACUUAAACCCAAUUAUAAAUGGCUUUGGCUAUAAAGUGUUCUUGAAUGAAAACGUUUAGGAAGUAGGCCUGGAUUCAGAUGCUUCAGAGGCUCAAAGGUUUUCUAAUUGUUUAUGGAGAAGAUUGAUCUUCACAAGCUAGUUUUUUCAUAGGCAAAAGCAAAAGUCUCUUCCUGUGUUAUUAAGUGAAAAUGGCUGAUUAUAAAAAGGCCCUGGGUCAGGAGGUUGCCGAUUCCAGGAAGAAUCAGACCUUAUCCCUGCCCUUGAGUCUCAAGAAGAGGAAAGGAAAACAAAUAAGCAUAGUACAGUGUGAAAAGUGGGACUGUGGUCAAAUUUCAGUCUGCAAACUCAGAAUGGAUGAAAUAUGAAAGACUGACAACAUCAAGUUGUCAAGUAGGACAGGAUGUGGAACCACUGGAACUCAUACGUGACUGAUGGGAAUGCAAAAUGAUACCGAUCCCUUGGAAAACUCCUUGGCAACUUUAAUAAACAUAAAUCUACCCUAUGAUCCAGAAAUUCCACUCUGAGUCACGUCUCCAAGAGCAAUGAAAAUAUAUACCCACAAAAGACUGCACAUAAAUCAGAACAGCAUUGUUGAUAAUAGCCCAAACUGGAAACAACCUAAAUAUUCACCAAUAGAAGCCUGAAUAAAUUCAUACUGUGGGAUACUCUACAGCAAUGAGGUAGAUGAACUAUUACUGCCUACAACAACAUGAAAGAAAGUAAAAGUCACUACUUUGAUAAUUAUAAACACAAAAAAGUAAACAUAUCAUUCUAUUCAUAUGAAGAGUUAUCUAAAUAAUUAGUAAAAUUGAUCUAUGAUUUUAGAAGUGGUACCUCUGGAGGAGAAGGAGGGGUACUGUUACUGACUGAGAAGGGAGUUCUGGAAAAAUUCUAUACUUUGAUCUUUGGGAUGGUUACACAGAUGUAUAGACAGGCAAAAAUUCAUUGAACUUUACAUUUAUUAUUUGUACAUUUUACCAUAUGCAAAUUGUCCCUCAAUUUAAAAAAUCUCAUUUUCCUUAAAAAAACACAGAGGCAAACAUUUCAAAAACAAUAUCUCACCUUAGAUGAGAUAUAGAGGCAAGCAGGCAGCCCCACUAUGAGAGCCUGGAAAAGGCAUUAGACACACUGUGUGUGGGGUGCAGUAGGGACAGAGAGACACUCAAGGAGGGUUUCUUGUGGGAGGUGACAGCUAAACAUUGAAGGACCUGUACUGAAAGUCAAACAAAGAGAAGGCUAAGGGCAUUCCAGGCUCAAGGAAACAGCAUGCAAGGGCACUCACAGCAUCCCAAGAGAAGUUGACUGAGAGAAGGAGGGUGUGGGGAAGGGACAAAACGACGAAGCCACAGAUGUCAAUGGGAGUCAGAUCUGACAGCUCACAAGCCAAAGGGAGGCCCAAGGGAGGCCCCGCAGAGUUGUGAUUGGAGUUGGACUUUAAGGAGGCCACUCUGGAGGAAGGGAGGAAGGUGGUUUAGAGGUGGUUGCAGUAAUCCACAGAUGGGGUAUGGGGCCUGAACUAGCGCAGCGGCCAUGGGGAUUGGGGCUGGGAGAAGAGCUUCCAGAGAUACUUAGGAGGAAGACUUUGGUAACCAGCAGUAUAGCGGGACAGGAGAGGAAAUCGUUAAGGAAACUCAUGGGUUCUUGCCUUUCAUGGCAAGGUGGAGCUAUUUACUGAGAAAAAGAUAGGAAGAGCUACAUUUAUUUAUUUAUUUAUUAUA
rnacentral:lncRNA from 1 species